GUUGUCGUGGCCGGGUGGUUAAGGCGAUGUACUAGAACUCCAUUGGGCUCUGCCCGCACAGGUUCGAAUCCUUCCGACUACG